CGGGAAGGCCGAAAGGCUGCCUGAAACCACCGCGAACCCUUCCACGUUGCUUCGGCGGUUACCCGCCGGAGGUACGAAACCCUUGUGUAUUACAGCGGCAUCUCUGAGUACGAAACGAACGAGUCA
rnacentral:misc_RNA from 1 species